rnacentral:rRNA from 1 species
GGGGAAUCUUCCGCAAUGGACGAAAGUCUGACGGAGCAACGCCGCGUGAGUGAUGACGGCCUUCGGGUUGUAAAGCUCUGUUAAUCGGGACGAAUGGUUCUUGUGCAAAUAGUGCGAGGAUUUGACGGUACCGGAAUAGAAAGCCACGGCUAACUACGUGCCAGCAGCCGCGGUAAUACGUAGGUGGCAAGCGUUGUCCGGAAUUAUUGGGCGUAAAGCGCGCGCAGGCGGAUUGGUCAGUCUGUCUUAAAAGUUCGGGGCUUAACCCCGUGAUGGGAUGGAAACUGCCAAUCUAGAGUAUCGGAGAGGAAAGUGGAAUUCCUAGUGUAGCGGUGAAAUGCGUAGAUAUUAGGAAGAACACCAGUGGCGAAGGCGACUUUCUGGACGAGAACUGACGCUGAGGCGCGAAAGCCAGGGGAGCGAACGGGAUUAGAUACCCCGGUAGUCCUGGCCGUAAACGAUGGGUACUAGGUGUAGGAGGUAUCGACCCCUUCUGUGCCGGAGUUAACGCAAUAAGUACCCCGCCUGGGGAGUACGACCGCAAGGUUG